rnacentral:tRNA from 1 species
GGUAAGAUGGCUCAGUGGUAGAGAGCUUGCCUUGCAUGCAUGAGGCCCUGAGUUCGAUUCCUCAGUACCA